rnacentral:rRNA from 1 species
AGGACCGAACCAGAGAACGUUGAAAAGUUGCUGGAUGACGUGUGGCUAGGGGUGAAAGGCCAAUCAAACUCGGAGAUAGCUGGUUCUCCGCGAAAUCUAUUUAGGUAGAGCGUCAGACGAAUACCUUCGGGGGUAGAGCACUGAAUGGGCUAGGGGGCCUUACCGGCUUACCAAACCUAAUCAAACUCCGAAUACCGAUGAGUACUAUCUGGCAGACAGACUACGGGUGCUAAGGUCCGUGGUCGAGAGGGAAACAGCCCAGACCGCCAGUUAAGGUCCCAAAGUUGUGGCUAAGUGGGAAAGGAUGUAGGACGGCCAAGACAACCAGGACGUUGGCUUAGAAGCAGCCAUCGUUUAAAGAUAGCGUAACAGCUCACUGGUCUAAAUAAGCUGUCCCGCGCCGAAGAUGUACCGGGGCUCAAGCCACACACCGAAACUGCGGACUUGUUCUUUGAACAAGUGGUAGCGGAGCGUUCCGUAAGCCUGUGAAGGUGAACCGUAAGGUUUGCUGGAGGUAUCGGAAGCGAGAAUGCUGACAUGAGUAGCGAUAAAGGGAGUGAGAACCUCCCUCGCCGAAAGCCCAAGGGUUCCUGCGCAAGGCCAAUCCGCGCAGGGUGAGUCGGCCCCUAAGGCGAGGCUGAGAAGCGUAGUCGAUGGGAAACAGGUUAAUAUUCCUGUACUUGUUUAUAUUGCGAUGGGGAGACGGAGAAAGCUAGGC